UAGAACUCUCUGUGUAGACCAGGCUGGCC
rnacentral:piRNA from 1 species